rnacentral:lncRNA from 1 species
AGCUUAAACUGGCGGAGUCCGAUCAGAUGAGGCAAGAGAGGGUGCAGCCUCAGGGACGGUGGGCAUUGAACUUCCAGUGGUUGGAAUACCUCCACUCCCAGUCUUGAUGGCUCCCUAGCAUUCCCAACCCUGGGGCUUACCGUGGCUAUAGAGGAAGAUUGCAAGCUAGCAUUUUCCAAGCGUUUUCUGCACACUGCCCCUGUGAGGACAUACUCCUCAGACUGAAUUCUGCAGAUUCACAAUGUGCGUGUUCCCAAGAACAUUUUAAACGUUUAUCCAUGUGAUGCAAAUGUCACAUGGAAGAUAUAAAUACUACUCUUCAGAUUCAUUCUUCCUGAUCAAAGUCAGAGUUUGAUAUUAAUGUAAUUCAGAAAAUUGACAAGGAACUGUGUCUCCAAGGAAACGAGUGGAGGAGGGGGAGGGAGAUAUGAACCUGUGAUUUGUUUAAUAAUGAGUCACCCUGCCAUUUUGUCACUCUCCACGUCAUCCAUGAAUAUGCUAAUAGAUAAAGUGCUUGCAGUGUCCACAGCAGAACCCCCCUCCAAAGAGCGAGCAAAUCCUGACCAGGUGACACCAGGCCAGGUUCAAUUUCAGGAACUCCAUGUCAUCGAUCCUCAUAUUCCUUUGGUGAUUUUUUACUUAAAAAUUGCUCUACCUAUAAUUGUAUAUAAUAUU